AGUUUGCAGGCAUGUAUGUAAGCGUGUUAAUUAUGCAUUAUUUAUAGUGCGAGUGAGAAGUGAGAACCCCACUAUGUGUCAGAAAUAUCAAUUCAUGCAACACUCUCUUCUCUAUAACUCCUCCGAAUGCCAUCACUUAUCUUCUUUCUCUUCCAAUGGAGCUGCAAUUGAAGAAAACCGCCCUUUCAAGAAGCUGGAUUUUGCUCCACAAGGAUGGCACAGGCACCAUCCUGGAUGUGGACAAGUAUGCUAUCAUGCGCAUGGUUGAGAUUCACGCUAGGGACCUUCGAAUUCUCGACCCUCUCCUCUCAUAUCCUUCGGCCAUUCUCGGCAGAGAGAAAGUCAUUGUUCUCAAUUUAGAGCACAUAAAGGCUAUUAUCACUGCACAAGAGGUGCUUCUUAGGGAUCCAAUGGACGAUGAUAUUGUGCCGAUUGUUGAAGAACUUCGAAGACGGUUACCCAAAUCCACUGGGGAUGAAGAACCGUCUGCUCAAGACCGUGAAGCAGGUGGAGAAGGGGAAGAUAACGAAUUUCCGUUUGAGUUCCGAGCAUUGGAAGUUGCAUUGGAAGCAAUAUGCAGUUUCCUUGAUGCAAGAACAAUCGAGUUAGAGACUGCUGCUUAUCCAGCUUUGGAUGAACUCACAUCUCAGAUUAGCAGUCGUAAUUUGGAUAGAGUGCGGAAACUGAAGAGUGCAAUGACAAGGUUGACUAAUCGAGUUCAGAAGAUAAGAGAUGAACUAGAAAACCUACUUGAUGAUGAUGAUGACAUGGCUGAUCUUUACUUAUCAAAAAAGUUGGCUAAUUUAUCUUCUCCUGCAAGUAGUUUUGGUGCUCCAAACUGGCUUCUUAGCUCUCCAAAUCCAGAUUCAAAGAUUCACAGAUCAAGCAAAGCGAGUACAGCAACUUCAGUUCAAGUGGAGAAUGAUGUUGAGGAUCUUGAAAUGUUACUUGAGGCAUAUUUCACGCAAAUCGAAGGCACAUUGAAUAAACUGAACACAUUGCGUGAAUAUAUUGAUGACACAGAAGAUUAUAUCAACAUACAGCUUGACAGUCACAGAAAUCAACUGAUUCAGUGAAAAACUUGUUGCUAUAUGAAGGCCAUGAUUAUCUUCUUAAUGUGUCUAAAUACCAAGGGUAUUGUUUAUGCUUAUUAAUUUCUUGACAGCUAGAGUUGUUCCUUAGCUCGGGGACUGUGUGUCUGUCCAUAUAUUCAUUGGUAGGAGCAAUAUUUGGUAUGAACAUUCCAUAUACAUGGAAAGAUGGUCACGGAUACAUGUUUAAAUGGGUGGUGAUGCUUGGGGGAAUGGUUAGUGCAUCGUUGUUUUUAAGCAUAGUAACUUAUGCCCGACGCAAAGGCCUUGUGGGGUCUUGAAACGCAUAGAGAUUCGUUCAUGUUGGAAGCUGAAAUCCAUGCGUGCACCCAAACAAUUUUUUGUAUCAUGUCAUCCAAGUAAUUGUUCAAUCUUCUCUCUCUCUCUCAAAAGCUGCUAGCUAUCUAGCAAGUGGGGACUUAUUUUAUUUUAUUUUUUUUAUUGGAGCAAUUGACAAGUUGUAUAUGAUUGUUGAUGAAUUAGCAAUUAAAUUAGAUAAAGUGCAGUCCAAUCUAAUAAGAGUAUAUAUUUUACCUA